GAGCCAAGCUGGAAGAACCGACUUCCCUGAACACCUAGUCCACCCUGCAGCCGUUCACAGAGGAGAGGCCUGCAGGGAGCCUGUGCGUGCUGACAGGAGGGCUCACAGACAGGAGGGACGUGACCACAGACAAAAACAGCUUGGACAAAGCAAACGUGAGGAUUUGUGGUGGCCCCGGUCUGGGACUCCAAACCUGAGAUGCAUUUUGCCUUCACUAAGUCCUCAGCUCACAGUCCAGCACUCACAGUGGAUGGUGAUGUUGUCCACAAGAUAAAUAGUCCACAAGAAAGGCUUGAAACCACCAAGCAACAAAGAGCUCACAGCUGCUAAGAACCCAGAGGCAUCAAGGCAUUACUUCGCUGCCCAACCCCACGCUGGUCCCUUUUGAAUGGAUCCCAUGAUAACAUCAUUUUACCAAAGAGAAAAUAGGCUAGAAAAAGAAAAGAAAAAAAAAAGAAAAACCCAGAAGGGAUCUCCACGUAGUUUGUGGCAAGAAAGGAGCACACUAAGCUUAUGACAAAUGAGAGUUUUCAGAUGCAUCUUCUCACCCAUCAUGGG